rnacentral:rRNA from 1 species
GAUGAACGCUGACAGAAUGCUUAACACAUGCAAGUCUACUUGAACUUCGGUUUGGGUGGCGGACGGGUGAGUAACGCGUAAAGAACUUGCCUCACAGAUAGGGACAACAUUUGGAAACGAAUGCUAAUACCUGAUAUUAUGAUUUUAGGGCAUCCUAGAAUUAUGAAAGCUAUAUGCACUGUGAGAGAGCUUUGCGUCCCAUUAGCUAGUUGGCGAGGUAACGGCUCACCAAGGCGAUGAUGGGUAGCCGGCCUGAGAGGGUGAUCGGCCACAAGGGGACUGAGACACGGCCCUUACUCCUACGGGAGGCAGCAGUGGGGAAUAUUGGACAAUGGACCAAGAGUCUGAUCCAGCAAUUCUGUGUGCACGAUGAAGUUUUUCGGAAUGUAAAGUGCUUUCAGUUGGGAAGAAAAAAAUGACGGUACCAACAGAAGAAGUGACGGCUAAAUACGUG